rnacentral:rRNA from 1 species
UACGGAGGGUGCAAGCGUUGUCCGGAAUCAUUGGGCGUAAAGCGCGCGUAGGUGGCCCUGUAAGUCCGUUGUGAAAGUCAAAGGCUCAACCUUUGAAAGCCGAUGGAUACUGCAGGGCUAGAGUACGGAAGAGGCGAGUGGAAUUCCUGGUGUAGCGGUGGAAUGCGCAGAUAUCAGGAGGAACCCCAAUAGCGAAGGCAGCUCGUUGGGAGGUUACGGACCCUGAGGCGCGAAAGCGGGGGAGCGAACAGG